ACAAUGCUGGGCGCGCGGACCUUACGGAAAAAAGCUGGAGGCUCCUGGAGGAGCGUUAAGAAAUGCAGUUCCGGGGCUCUUAAGGACGUGGAGGGGCUUUGCUGACUCCUAAACUGCAAGUAACCAGAUUUUCCCGGAGAGCAGUCUAGGACAAGUCUGAGAAAUAUUUCAGAGACCUGUCGUUUCAGAUUCUCUGAAGCACAGCAAGUCCCGAAAGGAAGAACAUCAGAAGCGACAUGGCUGACCAUAAUGAACUGGUCCUCCAUUCAUAGCGGUCAGCUCUUUUGUGCUUGUCAAGUACACACAUACUGAGGCUCUGGAGACUUUUUUUUGAUCGUUAGUGUGCUUCUGUUGGGACAAGAAAGAAAAGACCCACACAGGAUGUGAUGGAGAGUUGAAGGAGGAAUAUCUUUCUGUCGACGAAAAGGGUGGAACUUUGUGAAAUAGUUGAAGAGAUUUAUUCUGAGACAAAUAUGAGUGACUAAUGGCCCAUGACACGGCUCCAAGAUAUCCUAAGAACAUAUGCCCAGGGUGGCCCAUCUACAGCUUGGUUUUAACAAUUUAGGAAGACGUAAGACAUCAAUCAAUACAUGUAAAAUGUACAUUGGAUUCCUCUGGAAAGGCGCAACUGGAAGGGAGGGGCGGGGCUUCCAGGUCAGAGGUCCCAGUGAAAUAACGUCUAACCUGUUCAUCACCAUGGGCCAUAGUCAUCAAACAGGUAUAGUAACCACAGAGGUCCUUUAUGCUUUGCUCUUCACACCUUGUCAAAUCCAUGAUGACAUGUUAAGUUAGCAACAAGUUUGAACACUACUGUCUUUGCACUGGGUUUCUUGGCUAUUUAGACUCUGUUUAGUCCCCCCCACCUUUUUUUUUUUUUUUUUUUUUUUAAGACAGAGUCUCACUCUGUUGCCCAGGCUGCAGUGCAAUGGCAGGAUCUCAGCUCACUGCAACCUCCACCUCCCAGGUUCAAGCAAUUCUCCUGCCUCAGCCUCCCGAGUAGCUGGGACUACAGGCUCGUGCCACCACACCUGGCUAAUUUUGUAUUUUUAGUAGAGACAUUGGCCAGGCUGGUUUCGAACUCCUGACCUCAGGUGAUCUGCCUGCCUCAGACGCCCAAAGUGCUAGGAUUAUAGGUGUGAGCCACCGCGCCCCGCCUCCUUUUUUUUUUUAAUUGGCUCCCGUGACAUUGCCAUCCUUGAUAGUAUCACACCAUUUCUUUUCAUCUCUUUUUGCUAUCUUAUAUGUAACAGUUUAGUGAUGUACUUUCUUAAAGCAUUGUCAUGAAGAGGAUAAUAAUAGGGUAAAACUCAAGCAUAGGCUGGGCGCGGUGGCUCAUGCCUGUAAUCCCAGCCUUUUGGGAGGCCGAGGCAGGCAGAUCACCUGAGGUCCGGAGUUCGAGAUCAGCCUGACCAGCAUGGAGAAACCCCAUCUUUACUAAAAACUCCAUCUUUACUAAAAAAUACAAAAUUGGCCAGGCAUGCGCCUAUAAUCCCAGCUACUCGGGAUGCUGAGGCAGGAGAAUUGCUUGAAUCCAGGAGGCAGAGGUUGCAGUGAGCCAAGAUCACGCCAUUGCACUUCAGCCUGGGCAACAAGAGUGAAACUCCGUUAAAAAAACAAAAACAAAAAAAACUCAAGCAUAGGCUCUAGUGACUUGUUUCAGCUAAUAUCACAGACCAAGGGUUUUCUGAUUCUCAACAGACUGGUGACCAUUUGGACAGACUUUGCUUUGGGUCACUGAUAAAAUGGGAUAAGAUUCUCUUAUCUUCUUUUUCUUUUUUUUUUUUCUUUUUUGUCCAGAGAAUUAGGCAUUCAUUCAGAAAGAGUAUUCUCAGAUUUUCUGCAUGCUGAGGUGUGAAGAUUGUCGUGUUCUUGUGGGGAAGUAGCCACCUAUCAUGCUGUAGAACCAGGCCUAAGGUACAUAAUCAUUACACUCCUCUCAGACAGUGCCAGCACUUAUUGGAUCGUCUAAAUUGAAAUCGUCUCCUUUCCAGGAAAGUCUCCUGCAUGUUAUAUGUACUCUGAUUACAAUCACAAUUCUAGUGUUUAGGUUUCUAAGUGGCAUAACUUCACCCGGAUAAUUUUUGCCUUCAGUGGCUACUAGGAGGAACAUUUCAGUUGAAAAGAAAACAAAAACUGUUAAUUUAAGAGAUGCAUUAGAAAAGAAAGAAAACAAAAUUUCUCAGGCCCAGUAAGCAGUAGUUUUUUAUUGGAAUGAAUCGUAUUUGUACAAUCUCCAAGGUUCUGAAUAAAAAAUUGUUUCAGUAAAAAUUUCCUUGAAUAAAGCCAUUGAACAAUUUGGCAAACUUAAGCAAUAUCCUCCCCCUCCUAUUCCUCUAGUUGCUGCCUUAUAUCUAACUCUUCUACUUCCCCUUUACCCUUCUAAUCUUUCUCUUUUUUUUUUUUUUUUUUUGAGACAGAGUCCUGCUCUGUCAUCAGGCUGGAGUGCAGUGGCACAAUUUCGGCUCACUGCAAUCUCUGCCUCCCGGGUUCAAGUGGUUCCCCUGCCUCAGCCUCCUGAGUAGCAGGGACUACAGGCACGCACCAUCACGCCCAGCUAAUUUUUUGUAUUUUAGUAAAGACGGGGUUUCACCAUGUUGGCCAGGAUGGUCUCAAUCUCCUGACCUCGUGAUCUGCCCACCUUGGCCUCCCAAAGUGCUGGGAUUACAGGCGUGAGCCACCGUACCCUGCCUAAUCUUUCUCCUUCUGCACCUCCUCCCUCUUCUAUCCUUUGCCCAGGCCCCCUUUAUUUUCCCAAAAAAUAUCCUAAAAUUCCAAAAUGCCAAUUACCUCUAAAGAUCUAUGCUUUCAAGAGCCAAGUAUGUAGGCAACUGUCAGAUGUAAACCUUGGACCCAGGAUGAAUUAACAGCUGCAACUAAAGAUUUCUCUAAACCCAAAUAAGACUAGCAUGUGUUCAUAGAGAAAUUUCGAAUUCUUUCAUAUGCAUAUGACCCAGAGUUAUGUGACUUACACCAUGUUAUGGUUUAAACCUUUGUCUUCUCCAAACUCAUGCUGAAAUCUAAUUGCCACUGUAACAAUAUUAAGAGGUGGAACCUUUAAGAGGCUUCAGAUCAUGAGGGCUCCACCCUCAUAGGUGGACUAAUGCUAUCAUCGCAAGAAUGGGUUCUUAUUCCCUCUUGCUGUCUCUUUGCUCUUCUACCAUUUGAUGGCUUCUGUCAUGUUAUGAUGCAGCGAGAAGGCCCUCACCAGAUGCUAGUAUCUUGGUAUUGGACUUCCCAGCCUCCAAACUACGAGCCAAUAAAUGUCUCUUCUUUGUAAAUUACCCAGCCUGUGGUAUUCUGUUAUAGAAGCACAAAACAGACUAAGACAUGCCACUUGUAUACAUGUUGGUGUGAACCUCAGAUGAUAAAUCCUGAAUGAUGAAAGGUGAUUAGACUGACCUGGAUAGGCAGCUACAGGGCACCUUUUUCCACAAUAAACCACAAUAAAACUAUAGGUCAAAAAGGCUAGGAAAUUAAGAUCAAGUCUCCUAAAAGCCAUACCUCAAAUGUUUUCAAUCAAAAUCCAUUCGAACAGAGUAGCUACAAUUAAAAGAAACAGAAGAACACAACAAGUGUUGUCAAGGAUGUGGAAAAAUUAGAAACAUGUGCCUUUUGAUAAGAAUGUAAAAUGAUGCAGCCACCAUGGUGGCUGUGCACCUGUGGUCUCAGCUACUCAGGAGGCUGAGGUAGGAGGAUCACUUGAACCUGGUAUUGGACUGUGGUAAGCUGAGAUUACACCACUGCACCACUCCAGCCUGAGUGCCAGAGGAAGACCUGCCUCAAAAAAUAAAA
rnacentral:lncRNA from 1 species